GCGGGGGGGAGGGGGUGUCACAAAAUCAUAUUUGGGGAGAAAAUACCUGGCUAACUUAAACCUCUUUGUGGCAAGAAUGAGAACUCCUAAGACAGAAAAAGACCUUUUUUUUUUUUUGUAAUCCAAGGAUAAAAGAAGAUGCCUGUAAUGAUCUAGGCAUAUAAAACUUUUUGGCAAAGAAGUAAAAAUGGAGCUGGUCCCAAACUCCUUGCCGACUGGAUCAAAAAAACUCUGAGUGGAAGAAAGUGUGGAAAGCAAGAUUUCAAAACCCAGCAAGUUGUUGUUCGUGAUUUAAAGCGACAGAAAGACAUUCCAAGCAGCAGAAAAGGAACUGAGAACCACGAGGCACGGAAACUCUCCCCAUCUGCCGGCGUUGUUAAGGGAACCAGUGCUUUAAUUUACACUCGUAGGCUCCUCCCUUUCUUCCUCAUCAACACCCCCAACCAUCCCUUAAGGGAAAAAAAAAAAAACUUCGAUUCUUCUGUUCAAGAACUCUCAAAGUGUUCUCAAGAGCUUCUGAAAGGACACUUCAUUUCUAUAUUCCCAGCGUUCAGAAUAAGGAAGGCCUGGCUCAAUAAAAGCUAAUCAAUCAGUCAAUGAAUUACAUUGUGAGAGCUGGACCAUAAAGAAGGCUGAUCACUGAAGAGCUGAUGCUUUUGAACUGUGAUGUUGGAGAAGACUCUUGAGAGUCGGACUGCAAGGAGAUCAAACCUAUCAAUCCUAAAGGAAAUCAACACUGAACAUUCAUUUGAAAGACGGAUGCUGAAGCUGAAGCUCCAAUACUGUGGCUACCUGAUGUGAAGAGCUGACUCACUGGAAAAGAUCCUGAUUCUGGGAAAGAUUGUGGGCAGGAGAAGAAGGGGGCAACAGAGGAUGAGAUGGUUGGAUGGCAUCACCGACUUGAUGGACAUGAAUUUGAGAAAGCUCCGGGAGAUAGUGAAGGACAGAGGAGCCUGGUGUGCUGUAGUCCAUGGGGUCACAAAGAGUAGGACAUGACUGAGUGACUGAACAACAAAUAAACUACAUUGACUCCAUCUGGGGAAAAAGGAGAGGUAGGUUCUCCUAAGCAUUGUCUCCCUGCUCCCCAUGAGCUGGAGUACUGAGGUUGUCCAGUGUCACUGAACUGUUGGCCAUCCCAGACUCCCCCUCAACUCUCCCCAUCACCUGGGUGCCCAUCUUUCAGGAAAUCACAAAUGUGCCCCUCUCAGCACCUUUUCCUUUGACUCUGUCAGAGGCUUACCUUGGGUACCCAGUUUAAUGGACUGUACUGAUCACAAAAUAAGGAGUAACCAGUUCCUUAAAGAAAGUCUUCCGGGGCUUCCCUGGUGGUCCAGUAGUUGAGCAUCUGCCUCGCAAUGCAGGGGAUACAGGUUUGAUCCCUAAUCAGAGACCUAAGAUCUCACAUGCCUCAGAACAAGUGAGCCCCUGAGCCACAACUACUGAGCUAUUGCACUACAACUAGAGUCCAUGCACCACAAUGAAAGAUCCUGCAUGAUGCAACUAAGACUGGACACAGCCAAAUUAAUCAACCUUUUUAAAAGACUUCUGUUUUCUUAAUGUCAUUUCCAGAACCAUAAUCCCAUCAGCAAAGGGUACCAUUUCAUCAAUGGUGAGUUCCACUGAGCCACCAUCUUUCCCAGUAUCCCUAACAGUUUCCCCUUAGGCUCCUUGAAUUCAUGCUUAUGGUUCUAUCCAGUGCUCCUAUAAGAGAAAGAGGAGUCUCCUUUCCUUGUCUCACCAGCCCUACCUCCAUCCUGAAGUCUGGCCCUACAUCACAAGAGUCCUGAGUUGUUCCAUGAAGCAUGCGAUCUUUAGCCAGAAGCAGAACUCUAGCUCUGUUGGGUCUGCUCUGCACUGAAGAGACAAAAUGAAUAACUCCUUGUGCAGAAAAUGGCUAACCCGGAGCCAUGCACUUCAUGAGGCAGGAACGCACAUUCCCCCUGCUCUGCCCUGAACUGCUGUCCCAGUAGCAUCUGAAACCUUCCCCAGGGUCAUCUGUCAUCACAUGGCGCAGUGUGUCAGCCAACCCCUGAUGGGGGAGCUAACAGCCCACAUGCCUUGGGGCCAAAAAUCCAAAAC
ensembl:lncRNA